GCGUGGGUGAUGAAGGCCUUCGGGUUGUAAAGCCCUUUUGGCGGGGACGAUGAUGACGGUACCCGCAGAAUAAGCCCCGGCUAACUUCGUGCCAGCAGCCGCGGUAAUACGAAGGGGGCUAGCGUUGUUCGGAAUUACUGGGCGUAAAGGGCGCGCAGGCGGCUUUGUAAGUUGGGCGUGAAAGGCCUGGGCUUAACCCGGGAAUGGCGCUUGAGACUGCAAGGCUCGAGUACGGGAGAGGAUGGUGGAAUUCCCAGUGUAGAGGUGAAAUUCGU
rnacentral:rRNA from 1 species